UUAACUCAAAUUUGUAUGGAGUUGGAAUGUUUGCCUACGUUUACCUCUAGGAUCGUUGUUCCAACUUCAUACAAAUUCGAGUUA
rfam:Bombyx mori DNA, contig: Bm_scaf46_contig25007, strain: p50T/Dazao, build 2, whole genome shotgun sequence.